CUAAGCAAAGCAAAACCAUACAUGCCAGGGACUCCUGCAUUUCCCGCAUUAGCCCUUCAUUGGGCCUGCUGAGAGGGCAUGGGACCUUGGAAGAAACACACGGUGACAAGUCAGAAGCUGCCUCUCCCGCCUGCUGGGAGAUAGGUCUGGAGGCUGGGACUGUCGAGGUGCUGGUGAAUUCCAAAUCUGCAGUGUAGCAGAAGAAUCAUUGCCUCUAUGACCAAUCAAGAAACCAUCUAUAUAUAUCGUAUUUCCACAAACUACUCUUCCGAGAAGAGAGAAUCCGCUACAAAGCAGUAUUGUCCUAAUCUGGCCUGGUUUGUCGGUUUGCAAAAGGAACAUGAAUCUCACAAGCUCUUCUAUGCCUCCACGAUGGGUGGAGAGUUGCUCGGCCAAGACUUUUGAAGGUGUCAGAACAGACGGAAUUCAGAGCAUCUCAUGGGAUCCCCAAUGACACACACAUACCUUGGCAAAAAAAAAAAAAAAGAA